GGCCAAUGAUGGAACACAAUAUUUGCUACUCUUGACAGUCAAAACGGCUGGCUGAUGUUAAACAUAUCACCAAGAUCUCUGAGGCC
rnacentral:snoRNA from 1 species